GGGCCAGACUCCUACGGGAGGCAGCAGUGGGGGAUAUUGCACAAUGGGGGAAACCCUGAUGCAGCGACGCCGCGUGAGUGAAGAAGUCUUUCGGUAUGUAAAGCUCUAUCAGCGGGGAAGAAGAUGACAGUACCCGAAUAAGAAGCCCCGGCUAACUACGUGCCAGCAGCCGCGGUAAUACGUAGGGGGCAAGCGUUAUCCGGAAUUACUGGGUGUAAAGGGAGCGUAGACGGCUGUGCAAGUCCGGAGUGAAAGGCGGGGGCCCAACCCCCGGACUGCUCUGGAAACUGUAUGGCUGGAGUGCAGGAGAGGUAAGCGGAAUUCCUAGUGUAGCGGUGAAAUGCGUAGAUAUUAGGAGGAACACCAGUGGCGAAGGCGGCUUACUGGACUGUAACUGACGUUGAGGCUCGAAAGCGUGGGGAGCAAACAGGAUUAGAUACCCCAGUA
rnacentral:rRNA from 1 species